UCGAGAAUAGUCUACAAUGGCCGGAAGGCUGAUAGUGCGACGCCGCGUGAACGAGGGAGCCCUUCGGGGUGUAAAGUUCUUUUCUAUACGAGCAGUGCUAUAUAUAUGGAUAGUAUAUAUAGAGGGAUAGUAGUAUAGGAAUAAGCAACGGCUAACUCCGUGCCAGCAGCCGCGGUAACACGGGGGUUGCGAGCGUUGUCCGGAAUUACUAGGCGUAAAGGGCAGGUAGGCGGAUCUACGAGUUUUUUGUUAAAGGCUACGGCUCAACUGUAGUAGAGCAGGAGAUACUGUAGGUCUGGAAUGCGGUAGGGGAAGACAGAAUUCCUGGUGUAGCGGUGGAAUGCGCAGAGAUCAGGAGGAAUACCGAAGGCGAAGGCAGUCUUCUAGGCCGUAAUUGACG
rnacentral:rRNA from 1 species